rnacentral:sRNA from 1 species
AUUCUGCCCAAGCGGGGAAGGAUGAGAAGCUUCGACCAAGGUUCGACUCGAGCGCCAGCGAGAGAGCGUUGCCGCAGGCAACGACCC